GACGAACGCUGGCGGCGUGCUUAACACAUGCAAGUCGAACGGAAAGGCCCUGCUUUUGUGGGGUGCUCGAGUGGCGAACGGGUGUGUAACAUGUGAGUAACCUUCUCUUGACUUUGGGAUAACUUCAGGCAACUGGGGCUAAUACCGGAUAGGAGCUCCUGCUGCAUGGUGGGGGUUGGAAAGUUUAGGCGGUUGGGGAUAGACUCGCGGCUAAUCAGCUUGUUGGUGGGGUAGUGGCUUACCAAGCGUUUGAUGGGUGGCCGGCAGGAGAAGGUGGACGGCGACAAUGGGACUGAGGGACGGCGCAGUCGCCAACGUGAGGCAGUAGGGGGGAACCUGAUACAGCGGGCCGGAGUCUGAUGCGGCAACGCCGCGAGCGUGAUGACGGUCAACGUGUGAUGAACCGCUGUCGCCUGUGACGAAGCUGUAGUGACGGUAAUGAGUAAAGAAGCACCGGCUAACUACGUG
rnacentral:rRNA from 1 species